UACGGGGGAUGCAAGCGUUAUCCGGAUUUAUUGGGUUUAAAGGGUGCGUAGGCUGUGAGGUAAGUCAGCGGUGAGAUGCCCCCGCUCAACGGGGUGAAGUGCCAUUGAUACUGCCUUGCUGGAAUGCGGAUGCCGUGGGAGGAAUGUGUGGUGUAGCGGUGAAAUGCAUAGAUAUCACACAGAACACCGAUUGCGAAGGCAUCUCACGAAUCCGCUAUUGACGCUGAUGCACGAAAGCGUGGGUAUCAAACAGG
rnacentral:rRNA from 1 species